GACGAACCGUGCGAACGUUAUUCGGAAUCACUGGGCUUAAAGGGCGCGUAGGCGGGUUGCCAAGUCUGUGGUGAAAUCCUCCAGCUUAACUGGAGAACGGCCGUGGAUACUGGCGACCUCGAGGGGGGUAGGGGCUUGCGGAACUGUGCGUGGAGCGGUGAAAUGCGUUGAUAUGCACAGGAACGCCGGUGGCGAAGGCGGCGAGCUGGACCCUUUCUGACGCUGAGGCGCGAAAGCCAGGGGAGCGAACGGG
rnacentral:rRNA from 1 species